UUUCUUUAUUUCCUUGACUUGCAGUUAGUAUUAACUGACCAAAAGCAUUAUCUUCCUCUUUUUGCUUUUUUAUGAAGUUUUGGUAGGUCGUGUUAAUAAUACCCAUUACUCAUUUCUCUGAUAAGAUUAUAGAACUGCAAGGUCUUGGAUGACAUUGGCCUGCUCCUUCUGUUACGGGUGGGUCUUUGUUCUUAGAGCUCCCAAGAUGGUGGUUGGCCACUCCCAAGAUGGUCGUGGGCCACUCCCAAGAUGGUGGCAAGCCUUUUGUUGUCUGACCUGGGGUUCUUGGCCUCACAGAUUCCAAGGAAUGGAACCUUGGGCCAUGCGGUGAGUGUUAUAGCUCUAUUAGAAGCCGUGGGUCAUGGAAGAGAACCGUGGAACCCAGCAACUAGUGUUCAGCUCGAUUAGGCUGAACCUGAGCACUUAGCCAUGCAGGAACAAUGGCGAGCCUCUAGCCCGAUCGGGAGUGGCGAUGGGCACCUCGCUGGAUCAGAAGGUCAGUGGACACCCUGCUGGAUCCGGAGAGGUGGGAGUCAAUGGUGGGUCUGUGAUGGUGGCAUUCAGCAGUGGUGGACUGUGAAUGAAAGCUCAGCUCGAGCCAGAACAAACACGGACCAGAAGAGUGUGCAGUUGCAAGAUUUAAUAGAGUGAAAACAGGGCUCCCAUACAAGGAGAGAGGACCCAAACAGGGUUGCCCACACCUGGCUCGAAUGCCUGGGGUUUAUAGCCUGAUCAUUGUCCCUCCCUCUGUGCUCUCAGGCAAUAUAUGAUUUGACUAUUUCUUUACCUCCUGCUUUUAGCCCAAUUUGUAUUUUAGUGAGCCCUCUUUACUACCUGAUUGGCCGGGUGUGAGCUGAGUUACAAGCCCUGUGUUUAAAGGUAGGUGCGGUCACCUUCCCCAGCUAGGCUUAGGAAUUCUUAGUCGGCCUAGGAAAUCCAUCUAGUUCUGUCUCUCACUUCCUUUGAUUUUGAAGUAAACAAUCUCUUAACUUUGGGAUAGCCUGAGACACCACCUCUGACUUCUAAAUGACUCAAUAUCCCGAAAACCCGUGGUAAUCUCAGUCCGUCUCAGCUGGUUCCAAUUAACCUCUUUCCAAGCUAUCUGUGUGGGCCUGCUUUAGCCUUUUAAAAGGAACCAGACGUUUUUAGUCACAAUGGAUGCAUAUGAUAGCAUGGUUUACCUCAGAUAUGCUGUGGGUUAGCUUCUAUAGGCUUUCUUAUAUUUAAUGCUUUCCCCUGACUUCACAUUUAAUGCUUUUCCAAAAAUUUCCCAACAUCACUAAGGCUUCAGCAGCCCUUUAGGACCAGUAUUUCUGGGAAAACACUCAAAAUACAUCUGAAUCUGUGUCGUAUAUCAUCACCUAGAGCAUGCCACCAUCUAGUUUCAGCAAAAUCCUAGUGAUUCCACCAGACAAGAAAGAUUGCCUCACUGGGAGACAGUUGCUGAUUCCUGUUGCCCUUCACUGGUCUACUUUGAUAAUUGGCAUAUGCCUUUCCUGCGGCAUUUUAUCACAUAAAGCUUUGCUGUUUUUAUCUGUGUUCAUGUCUUUCUCUCUAGAUGUAUCAUUAAAGGCAAAAACAAUAUUCAUUUAGUGUUCUUCUUACCUGUCCUUCUCUCCCCAAUACUGGAAUCCUAACACCAUGCAUUGCACUUUUUUGGUGUUCAGGGUUCUAGGAAAGCUGGUAAAUGGAUGAAUCAUAAAUGUAAUUUGGGGCAAUUUUUUCACAAAAUGUGUCACCUAUCUUUGUCUUUUCUCUGCCCACUCAUACUGGCUUUCUGUGGCUUCUCCCCAUCUGUCUAGCAUUUCUCUCUACCUCUGAAGAAUAUCAGUCUGGUGCAGCCCUAGCACCUUCUUUGGACUCAUUGUUAAAGAUGUUGAGGAAGGCUAGCUCCAAGGUUUACCGUUUGCAUUUAGAGAACUGUCUUACCAUGCCUGGUUUCUUCAGCCCUGAUAAGACUAUGCCAUCUUCACCCUCCCUUCCCCUGACCCUUCCUUAGCCACCUCAUCCAACCUAUGGCAACUCAACAAGAAAAGCUUACAAAGUCUUCCUUGGCAAAAGAGCUGGUUGACUUGAGCCAAAGGAAGCUAGGUGCAGUGUCCGAUUCACUCCCCCAAAUCCCCCUUGAAACUGGAGAAUUGAAAACAAUCUGGUUUCUCUCUGGGUUCUUUCAUUAUACCAUGUUUUCUUGCAUAUAGACAGAAUAAUGUGGUUGUUACAAUUAUUUAUAAAUGUAGUGUAUGCCAGGAACUGAUCACUGUGUGUAACGGAUACACC
rnacentral:lncRNA from 1 species